GGGCGCGUAGCUCAAAUGGCAAGGCACCGCUGUUUAUGCGGACGGACGUGGGUUCGAUUCCCGCCGUGUCCA
rnacentral:tRNA from 1 species